GAUGAACGCUGGCGGCGUGCCUAAUACAUGCAAGUAGAACGCUGAAGGAAGGAGCUUGCUCUUUCCGGAUGAGUUGCGAACGGGUGAGUAACGCGUAGGUAACCUGCCUGGUAGCGGGGGAUAACUAUGGGAAACGAUAGCUAAUACCGCAUAACAGUAGAUGUUGCAUGAUAUCUACUUAAAAGGUGCAAUUGCACCACUACCAGAUGGACCUGCGUUGUAUUAGGUAGGUGGUGAGGUAACGGCUCACCAAGGCGACGAUUCAUAGCCGACCUGAGAGGGGGGACGGCCCCCCUGGGACUGGGACACGGCCCAGACUCCUACGGGAGGCAGCAGUAGGGGAUCUUCGGGCAUGGGCGGAAGUCUGACCGGGCAACGCCGCGUGAGUGAAGAAGGUUUUCGGGUCGUAAAGCUCUGUUGUAAGGGAAGAACGAGUGUUGGAGUGGAAAGUUCACGCUGUGACGGUACCUUACCAGAAAGCGACGGCUAACUACGUG
rnacentral:rRNA from 1 species